GGCAGAGUGCCUGAGUGGUUUAAAGGGUAGGAUUUGAAUCGUGAAGUAGCCUCGCUAUUUCUAUCGACAAUUACCCUAUGGGUUCGCCCGCGCAGGUUCGAACCCUGCCUCUGUCG
rfam:Drechmeria coniospora strain ARSEF 6962 chromosome 02, whole genome shotgun sequence.